AAUGAACGCUGGCGGCAGGCCUAACACAUGCAAGUCGAACGCGUCGCGGACGGGUGAGUCAUGUCUGGGACACUGCCUUAUGGAUGGGGUUAACUCCUGAAAACGGUAGUUAUUACCGCAUACCUUCCGCUUAGCCCAGGUGGGAUUAGCUAGUAGGUGGGGUAAAGGCUUACCUAGGAAACGAUCCCUAGCUGGUCUGAGAGGAUGACCGGCCACACUGGAACUGAGACACGGUCCAGACUCCUACGGGAGGCAGCAGUAGGGAAUAUUCCGCAAUGGGCGCAAGCCUGAUGCAGCAAUGCCGCGUGAGUGAAGAAGGCCUUCGGGUCGUAAAACACUGUCAGUAGGGAGGCGUUACCCGAAGAGAAAGCAACGGCUAACUCCGUGCCAGCAGCCGCGGUAAUAC
rnacentral:rRNA from 1 species